ACAUGCAAGUCGAGGGGUAUAGGGAGCUUGCUUCCUAGAGACCGGCGCGACGGGUGCGUAACGCGUAUGCAAUCUACUUUUGCAGAGGGAUAGCCCAGAGAAAUUUGGUAUUAAUACCUCAUAGUAUGUGAGAAUGGCAUCAUUUUCACAUUAAAGUCACAACGGCAAAAAGAUGAGCAUGCGUCCCAUUAGCUUGUUGGUAAGGUAACGGCUUACCAAGGCAACGAUGGGUAGGGGGUCCUGAGAGGGAGACUCCCCCACACUGGUUACUGAGACACGGACCAGACUCCUACGGGAGGGCAGCAGUGAGGGAAUAUUGGACAAUGGGCGCAAGCCUGAUCCAGCCAUGCCGCGUGCAGGAUGACGGUCCUAUGGAUUGUAAACUGCUUUUGUACAGGAAGAAACACUGGUUCGUGAACCAGCUUGACGGUACUGUAAGAAUAAGGAUCGGCUAACUCCGUG
rnacentral:rRNA from 1 species